AUCGAGACUAGAGUCACAUCUUAACAUCUUUGAUUGUCUUGGUGUGCUGUAGCUCUCGGACAUAAACUCUGAUCCCUAUUCGCUGGCUGCGAUGUCUCGUAUCUCAGCCAGCCACCGUAUCAGUGACACCC
rnacentral:snoRNA from 1 species